rnacentral:lncRNA from 1 species
UCAAUUAUAGUUUUUGUGUCAUAGAAAUGUUAUGUAAAAAGUCUUAUAAUCAUAUAAAUAUGCGGAUAUAUUUACGACCAUAAGUUUUUUUUUUUAAAACUCCAUACUUAUUUAAACUUUGCCACAUACAAUAAAAAGGACGAAGUAAAAAAAAGCUGUCGACAUAUAGUAGAAAGAAUGGACCCUCUUGUUGGCGGCUCCUGUUUAGAUAGAUAGACAAGUGUUAUAUAUAUGUCUAUGUGUACACACAUAUUAUGCUUUGACAAGAAAUCUUUGAUCUUUAUUGCUCCUCACUUCCUCUUUAGGCUUUAGUUUCUUAUUUAGUUUUUGGUCCAGAAGAAGAAUUAGAAACAGAGGUAGAAUAAUCCAACAAGCUAUAUAGCAACUUUCUUUGAUUUUCUAAUAGUACUUCAUGAAAACUAACAUCUUUUAAUAUAUUCUCUCAGAAGCCCAAGAAUGGUCUGAAAAGGUGUUUGCAUGGCAAGUCAAGGAAUUGGAGAGACUGGUUUAACAAACUCAGGACCAUCAAAUCACCAUAAUAUGCCUUAUGCCGUUUUUAGGGGGCUAAAUCCUGCUAGCACAAUUAGCUUCAUCUAUCAUUCUACUCCCAAGUAAGUGUAUAUUCUUGUGAUAAAUUCUGUUUCUUGUUUCUUUUUUCCUCUUAAAUUUUAACAUUUAAGUCUGUUCCAGCUUGUUUUAACAUGUUUUUUUUUUGCUAUAGUAAUCCAGAAGGAACUUUUGAUUUUGGAGAGCUAGAAGAAGCUU